rnacentral:rRNA from 1 species
AAUCAACGCUGGCGGCGUGCCUAACACAUGCAAGUCGCACGAGAAAGUGGAGCAAUCCAUGAGUAAAGUGGCGCACGGGUGAGUAACACGUGAAUAAUCUACCUCCGAGUGGGGAAUAACUGAGAGAAAUCUUGGCUAAUACCGCAUAACACUUACGGGUCAAAGCAGCAAUGCGCUUGGAGAGGAGUUCGCGGCCGAUUAGUUAGUUGGCGGGGUAAUGGCCCACCAAGACGAUGAUCGGUAUCCGGCCUGAGAGGGCGCACGGACACACUGGAACUGAAACACGGUCCAGACUCCUACGGGAGGCAGCAGUGGGGAAGUUUUGUCGCAAUGGGGGAAACCCGUGACGCAGCAACGCCGCGUGGAGGAUGAAGUAUCUUGGUACGUAAACUACCUUUCGAUGGGGACGAUUAUGACGGUACCCAUAGAAGAAGACCCCGGCUAACUUCGUGCCAGCAGCCGCGGUAAAGUCUAGCA